rnacentral:tRNA from 1 species
AGGGGCGUAGCUCAGUUGGUAGAGCACCGGUCUCCAAAACCGGGUGUCGUCGGUUCAAGUCCGGCCGCCCCUGCCA